rnacentral:lncRNA from 10 species
UUGUGAUCCACCCGCCUCGGCCUCCCAAAGUAUUGGGAUUACAGGAGUGAGCCACCGUGCCUGGCCAAGAUAAAGCAUUUAUUUUUGGACUUGUCAAGAUUGCCUCUUGGAGACAUCUAGGGGGAGGAGGCAGCUGAAGUGUGGGUCUAGGAACCUGGCAUUGACCAGCAGCACAGCAUCACCUGGAAACUCGUCAGGAAUGCAGAUUCCCAGGCACCACCUAGCGCUAUGGCGUCAGUAUCUGCGUUUUCACAAGACCCCCUAGGUGGAUGGAAGGCACAUUCCUUGGAGUAGCUCUGGGCUACAGCUUUCGUAAGGCCCUGCUGAACAGCAGCACUGACCUCAGUCUAUGACACGGAGUCUCAGCUGGGGAGCGAACUAUCCCCCCACGGGACACGUGGCAACAUCUGGAGACACUCUGGUUGUCAUAAAUGGGGAAGGGGUGCUACUGCUGGGUAGAAGCCAAGGAUGCUGUUCAAUGUCUGGCAAUGAACACAACAGCCCCCCUGCAACGAAGACAGCUCCGGCCCCAGUGGCCAACAGCAGCCAGGAUGCUGAGCCCUGGUCCUCAGGAAGUGCGCACAGAAGGUGGCGAGGGCAUCCCGGCACUGUCUUGAGCCUCAGAUUUCCCGCCUGGGCUUCGCCCCCUCCUUGGACCUUCUCCCGCUGGGCGCCGAGAAACCACACAAAGGCCAGACAUUGAUGAGUCACUUACAGUUUAUUUUUGCCUGAAAGUAUUUCACAUCUCUUUGUACACAGCUACGUGACAGUAGUAUUAACCAUCAGGAAAAGCAACAGUGCGAGGGGAAAGGUGGCAUACGAGAGAGCAUUAGCAUAGAGAAUCCAUUACGAAAAAGC